UGGGGAAUAUUGCACAAUGGGGGAAACCCUGAUGCAGCAACGCCGCGUGAGUGAUGACGGCCUUCGGGUUGUAAAGCUCUGUUUCCAGGGACGAUAAUGACGGUACCUGGGGAGGAAGCCACGGCUAACUACGUGCCAGCAGCCGCGGUAAUACGUAGGUGGCAAGCGUUGUCCGGAUUUACUGGGCGUAAAGGGAGCGUAGGCGGAUUUUUAAGUGGGAUGUGAAAUCCCCGGGCUCAACCCGGGGGCUGCAUUCCAAACUGGAAAUCUAGAGUGUCGGAGAGGAAAGCAGAAUUCCUAGUGUAGCGGUGAAAUGCGUAGAGAUUAGGAAGAAUACCAGUGGCGAAGGCGGCUUUCUGGACGAUAACUGACGCUGAGGCUCGAAAGCGUGGGGAGCAAACAGG
rnacentral:rRNA from 1 species